CCUACGGGAGGCAGCAGUGAGGAAUAUUGGUCAAUGGGCGGAAGCCUGAACCAGCCAAGUAGCGUGCAGGAUGACGGCCCUACGGGUUGUAAACUGCUUUUAUACGGGAAUAAAGUGCCUUACGUGUAGGGCUUUGCAUGUACCGUAUGAAUAAGGACCGGCUAAGUCCGUGCCAGCAGCCGCGGUAAUACGGAAGGUCCGGGCGUUAUCCGGAUUUAUUGGGUUUAAAGGGAGCGUAGGCGGCAUGUCAAGCGUGCUGUGAAAGGUCCGGGCUCAACCCGGGCCUUGCAGCGGAAACUGGCGUGCUUGAGUCGGCGGGAGGUAGGCGGAAUGCGUGGUGUAGCGGUGAAAUGCUUAGAUAUGACGAAGAACCCCGAUUGCGAAGGCAGCUUGCUGCAGCGGAACUGACGCUGAUGCUCGAAAGCGCGGGUAUCGAACAGGAUUAGAUACCCUUGUAGUC
rnacentral:rRNA from 1 species